GACGAACGCUGGCGGCGUGCUUAACACAUGCAAGUCGAGCGGUAAGGCCCUUUCGGGGGUACACGAGCGGCGAACGGGUGAGUAACACGUGGGUGACCUGCCCUCAGCUCUGGGAUAAGCCUGGGAAACCGGGUCUAAUACUGGAUAUGACUCCAUGACGCAUGUUGUGGGGUGGAAAGCCUUGUGCGGCUGAGGAUGGGCCCGCGGCCUAUCAGCUUGUUGGUGGGGUGANGGCCUACCAAGGCGACGACGGGUAGCCGGCCUGAGAGGGCGACCGGCCACACUGGGACU
rnacentral:rRNA from 1 species